UGGAUGGUUGGACUGGAUGUUCUUGUGGGUCUUUUCCAACCUAGCUAAUUCUAUGAUUGGCAUGAAAUGAGGAUGCUGAGAAUAUGAGCUACAUGGAACAAGAGUGCAAGCAAUGAGGUUACAGACUACUAUAAUGUCUUCUGCCUAAUCUUUAGCACAUUUCAUGCUAAAACAUACAAAAAACAAGGUCUCUAUUUUGUCUUACUGUUCAAAGUUGACAUAUACGUUCUGAGUCGAAAGCUCAUAUUCAAAACCUGUGGCUGCCUGAUAUUCAGAUUUUGAGUUUUGGUACACAGCUGCAUCAAUAAUAUAACAGAGAAGAAAAAAAUGGAACCUUAAGAGAUUCACUGAGGCUAAAAAGAAAUACAUGCAUCUGAAUGAGUAGAGACUUAUCAAAGAAUAAAUAUGUUUGGGAAGAAAUCAAAAUAUCUUCACACAACUGCUACAGGUCCUUGUUGUCUGGAGACAGGAGUGGUACCCUCAGGCUGAAAGACUGCCUGGACUUCAACUUGAGUAUAAGAGAGAAGUGUGCCAACCCUGUAGAUUCACAGGCUCAGCUGGAUUUCUUUACACGUACUAUGAAAAGAAACAUCGUUUUUUAGAAAUCAUGAAUUUUCUCUGAAAUAGACUCAAAGACUCAUAGAAUCAUCCAGAUUGGAGAAGACCUCUAAGAUCAUCUAGACCAACCAUCAACCUAUCCCCACCAUGCCCAAUCCCAGCAAGGUCUCAGGGAGGAAGUCUCUGUAAAUCUUUUUAAUAAACCAUUUUUCCCUAGUUUGGCCA
rnacentral:lncRNA from 1 species